rnacentral:rRNA from 1 species
UACAGAGGUCUCAAGCGUUGUUCGGAUUCAUUGGGCGUAAAGGGUGCGUAGGUGGCGGGGUAAGUCAGGUGUGAAAUCUCGGGGCUCAAACCCCGGAAACUGCACCUUGAUACUUGACCUUGCUCGAGUACUGGAGAGGAGAUUGGAAUUUACGGUGUAGCAGUGAAAUGCGUAGAUAUCGUAAGGAAGACCAGUGGCGAAGGCGAAUCUCUGGACAGUUACUGACACUGAGGCA